rnacentral:rRNA from 1 species
UACGUAGGCAGCAAGCGUUGUUCGGAGUUACUGGGCGUAAAGAGUAUGUAGGCGGUUGGGUAAGUUUGGUGUGAAAUCUCCCGGCUUAACUGGGAGGGUGCGCUAAAGACUGCCUGGCUCGAGUGUGGGAGAGGAAAGCGGAAUUCCUGGUGUAGCGGUGAAAUGCGUAGAUAUCAGGAGGAACACCGGUGGUGUAGACGGCUUUCUGGACCGUAACUGACGCUGAGACACGAAAGCGUGGGUAGCAAACAGG